UAUCUCUCCGUACGGGGAAGGAUGAGAAGCUUCGACUAAGGUUCGAUUCGAGCGCAGCGAGAAAGCGUUGCCGCAGGCAACGAC
rnacentral:sRNA from 1 species